AACGAACGCUGGCGGCAGGCUUAACACAUGCAAGUCGAACGCCCCGCAAGGGGAGUGGCAGACGGGUGAGUAACGCGUGGGAACAUACCCUUUUCUACGGAAUAGCUCUGGGAAACUGGAAUUAAUACCGUAUACGCCCUACGGGGGAAAGAUUUAUCGGGGAAGGAUUGGCCCGCGUUGGAUUAGCUAGUUGGUGGGGUAAAGGCCUACCAAGGCGACGAUCCAUAGCUGGUCUGAGAGGAUGAUCAGCCACAUUGGGACUGAGACACGGCCCAAACUCCUACGGGAGGCAGCAGUGGGGAAUAUUGGACAAUGGGCGCAAGCCUGAUCCAGCCAUGCCGCGUGAGUGAUGAAGGCCUGAGGGUUGUAAAGCUCUUUCACCGAUGAAGAUAAUGACGGUAGUCGGAGAAGAAGCCCCGGCUAACCUCGUG
rnacentral:rRNA from 1 species